GUAGGUAAAUGAUCUUGGAGGGCCACAUCUGGCCCGUGGGCCUUAGUUUAGGGACCCCUGGAUUAGAUUAUAUUUGAUGUCUACAUCUAGAUGUCUGCACUCUUUUAAGUGUAGACAUCUAGAUUUCUGAUAGAUUAGGGGAAGGUGUAACAAUUAAGCCAGUUCAAUUAAGCCAGCUUACCUUAAGAUCUCAUCUGCAACCUGUAGAAUCCAGAUAAUAAAUUAUAUUCUUGAUCUAAAGCCUGAAUGCAAAUCCAGAAAUACAUUAAAUGUCAUUUAUGCUCUGUUGUAUUUUAGAUCACAAUUUUUACAUCCCACAUAGUAGUACUGGAGAUCUAUAUGAGGAUUUGGCGUCAGGCCACGCCGCAAGGAUAACCUUUGCUCGACAUUGGAAAUUGGAUAAAAUACCAAUAAAAGGCCUCUGGCUAGAAAAGCUAGACAAAAUCUAUGACAUGGACAGACUUACAUAUUUAAUGAAAGAGAGCAGAGGCAAACCAAUAAAGAUGACCGAUUGGAAAAAAUAUGAAGAAUAUAGAAAAUUAGCAAUGGACUGAAAGAAACAAAAAGGGGAAACCGGCAAACUUAAAAUAUGAUGGUGACCAACAAACAAGAAAAGACAAAUAAAUAUUCAAAUAUAACCAGGAAAAGUAGAAAACGGAAGACCAAAACAAACACUACCCUCAUUACCCUUCCCUAACCAAUUUUCCUUCUAAACCUCUUUUUUCUUCCUUUUUCUUUUUUUUUCUUUUCCCCCCCUUCGUCACGACACAUCCUUGUCCCCCCUCACUUCUCUUUUCUCCAUUCCCCACUUUUACCCACCCAUGUUUCUUUUGUUUUUUCUUUUAUGCAAGCACUUAAAAUUUGAAUAAAAAUUAUUUUUCAAGGUU